GUUCUGGGGAGGGGCCAAAACAAGUAAUGAGCUGGACUAGGGGAAGCAGGCUGGGGAAUAAGACCGGCCUGGGACAACCCUGCGGACUGGGCACUGCACUGACUCACUCACCAGUGGUCCUCACCCUUCCUAACUCUGCAACCCCUUAAUACGGUUCCUCGUGUUGUGGUGACCCCCCACUAUAAAAUUAUUUUCAUUGCUGCUUCAUAACUGUAAUCUUGCUACUGUUAUGAAUUGUAAUGCAAAUAUCUGAUAUACAAGACAUCUGACACGAGACUUGGAUCGUCCCCAAAUGGGUCUCCACCCACAGGCUGAGAACCACUGGUUUAGACUGAGCUGUGAAGUGCAGUCCCCUCCCCGGAGGGGUGCAAAAGAACUGGGGAGCAGAACUGAAUGAGAGGACAUUAAAUCCUCGGGAGCCAAUCAUAAACCCUGGCAGCUCAGCUCCGAGACACAGGUCCCAUCUGGCAGCUUUGGGACAGCCAGCCAUGACUGGGACAUUGUGAAAGGACAUUGUGACAUAGCCAUGCCUGGCUAAGCUCUCCAGUGAGCUUCAUCACUGCCUCUGAGGAUGACAAUGUCCCAUUUCACUGUUGAGAAAACUGAGGACCAGCCUAUCAAGAGGUGGAGACUGCUUCCCAAGGCUGAGUGGGUCCCUUCUCCCUCCUGCCCACCCCACCAUUGCUGAAGAUAGGCCCGGCACAGAGGUCUGUGCCAUCGCUUUCCUUCCCGGAAACCUCUGAUGGCUGGGUUGGACUUCUUGGCAUUCCAGCAUCCAGCUGGACCUGCUCAGAGUGGUUAAGAAGCUGUUCCGAUGGACCUCUGCCAGACUGCCUCAAUGUGACCUCUACCCUCAUGGUUAGCCUGGAUGGACCUCUGCCAGACUGCCUCAACGUGACCUCUGUCCUCAUGGUUUUCCCCUUCAUUCAAGACUGAGCUCUAGACACCCCACCCACAUACAUACCACCCAUCCAACCCAAGUCAGGGUGCCCAAGAAUAAUGGUCUGACCACAGCAAUUUGAAGAAGCCAGGAUUUUGGCAGCCUUCUCCCUCGUGUAUUCGUCUCCCUUAGGCCUGUGGCAAAGCUGGGACCUAAAGCACCCUUGUUACACAGCACGUUUCAGCGAUGGAAGCCCUAUCAGACUGCAGGCUGCGCUGGAAUGAUCAUCUACAUGAAAAGCAGGCUGAACCCACACCCUGAGGGGCACCCUGCCUGGAAAGCCGCUUUUGUCCAGAGUAUUUGCAGCCACCUCAAUGGCUGGCAUUGCCCUCUGGGGCUCCUGGCUCUGGUGGGAAGCGCACGUGAGAGACUAGCUUUGGGAACCUCUAUGAUCCUUUAGGAAAACCUGGGAUGGGAGCACACAGCCUAGCACAAAAGAAUGACAAAAUUCCCAGUCUUCCUGGCCAGCAAAGGAAUGGGGCAGAAAGGGACCCUGUGUUCUUGAAGCUGUUUCUAAGGUCUCCUGGUGGGUAGUGGUUCCUGCGCCUGCCUUAAGCGCUGUAUCUCAGGCCUCACCUGCCAUACACAUUGGCGGCCCAGUCUAACAGCACAUAGAGCUGCUCACAGCCCCUGGCGUCUCGCGCCAGCUCCUGCAGACGCUGGGCCACCGCGCUGUGGAAGGCACGCAAGUAGGUCUCCCACACUGGAAAGUCGGUGGCUUCGUAAGCGGGUUGCAUCUCUAAUCGCACCUUCUGCAGGUCGUGGCGGACCACACCACCAAGUUCAGCCAGAAGCUGGGCUAGGUCGGACGCACCCUCCGCAGCAGCCCCGGGGGUCACUUUGUCUCCUGCCUGCUGCACGCGCUCCUGAGCGCUGCGCUGCACGGCGUCCUCCCAGUGCUGACGCCAGUGGCGGGGCGGGCUCAAGAAGUCACCCUCAGCUUGGGGGGCCUGAUGGGCCUCCUCUUCCAAGUGCACCACUUGGGCCAGUUCGGCUAGAGCGUCUCGAUCCACGCCUUCAGAACCCAGCGCCUCGCGCACAAUGGCUCCGAUCUCCGCGGCCAUUCCAUCGUAAUGUAGGCAAAGGUCCAUAGCGCGCCGCGCAUAGUCGGUGGGGUCCUGCGCAAAGGUGCGUGAGGUUCUGUCUGCCACCAGCUGCGUCUCCAGGUACCGCAACUGUUCGAAGGCCUUCACUAGUUGCCGCUCAGUGAUGAGGUCUGUCACGGAUUUGCUUUCUGCAAGCGCGGGUGAGAAAGGGGUCAAUGAGAGGGACCAACCUAGGGGUACUGGGUACCAACUUAGACAACUAGGUUGCGCUCAGGGACUUGGGCUGGGCUGCCUGGCCACUGCCCAGAUGUUCUGCGCGCCAUUGAACUGCUCCAGCUGCCAGAAAUCUUUGCUUAGAAUCACAUUUGAAAGAACAGUAUCAAGGCCCCAAAUCUGACUGAAAAUAACUUGGGUCAGCUCCUGGCUGCAUGCACACACCGGCUAUACAGACCAGCCCCAGCGCCUUCUAUCUUGCACCCCCCCACACCCCAUCCGCACUCCCAUCUCUGCUGAGCUGGUCCUGGUGACCUCGUGUGGGCUGUAAUCGCAGGUCUAAUAGGUUCAGAGCUCAGCUGGGUGUGUCCUGUCCUAACGUACAGAGUCAGCCUUUCUGUCGUGCUCUCUGCCCUCCCCGUGUUGAGCUCUCUACUCUGCAGGAUCCCUUCUUGACAGUCCAAGUCCAACGUUUGCUCCCUGAGCUGUCCUCCUAGCUGCCCCUCCAGGUAAUAGUGGCCCAGAUGAACCUCUGUGACCCUGUGGUCUGAAAGGAUCAGCGCCUAAUACUUAGGUUUCAAAUCCCA